UUGAUGUCAGAUGUGGAGAACAUGGCAUCUUGGCCUCAACCGCAUUUAUGGCAGAGGUCGUGCCCAACUGACAGUGAUAAUCUGAAUGAACAAGAGGAGUUGACAGUUGAAGGGGGGCACAAUUCGCGUGUCUAGCAUAUAUUCUCAAGGGUUGUUGAAUUCUCUAACACAGGCAUUGCAAAGCUCUGGCGUAGAUCUGUCACAAGCCAGCAUUUCGGUGUAGAUUGAUCUCGACAAGCGAGCAAAUAACAGGCCAUCAACCACAACAUCUAGUGUUAUGGAUCAUGAAGACCCCUCAUCAAGCAACCGUGCAAUGGCCCACUCGAGGGUGGCUAGCAGUGGGGAGGACUCACAUCAACAAGCUCAGAAGAGGCUGAGGACAGCUAACAACUAAGCUAGUAUUUGCAAUCCUCUUCUUCCUUCAUUUUUAUUUAAUUUAUUUGUUUUUGGGUAAGAUGGCCUGGUUGAUACACUAUAAGUUCGGUGUACAUGCUUUGCUUUGACAGUUUGGGGGGACGACAGGAUGUCUCACAAACCCUUAGGUAUCUAUUCUUUUAUUCGUGACAUUUCUCAGGUAUAGGCUUCAUGAGAAUUUGAGAAGCUACUUUUCUUUCAAGGCUUCCAUUCAUAUGAGAGAAAUUUCUUUCUUUUUCU